CAGCACGGAGCGUCCGAGGCUCUGCUGGAGUCAGCGCCCGGCAGCUACCGCGACCGAGUCUGGGGGGACAGACUUGGCAGACCCGUUGGGCCAGUGUGACCUCAUACGCGGCCCUUCUGCUUCAGAGACACAGGCGGCUCUGACUCCCACACCCCUGCAGAGGCUGCUGUGGUCGUCAGGCGACAGGGCUCUGCGGAAGAGUACACGCAGAGCCACUCCAGGCCAGGCCAGGAGGCCAUCCAAGGGCAUGGGAGCCCUGGGAAACGCUCAGCGGCUUUUAUACCCGUUUGUCUCAACUGUUCUUGACCUGCUCUUCAACCCCGAGCUACGUCCCAUCGCUUCAACCAACCGAAGGAAUGCUUCCUAGAACUAGAUGGCCGUCUCACCUUUAAGCAAGGGGUGAUGUGAAAAAUGGCCGGCUGGAAGAUGCUUCUGCUUGUUUCUUUAUAUCCACCCAGCCUUUUUAUGACCCCUGUUGGUAAUGGAGAAAAAACAAGCUCAACAGUCAGACAGAUGUGAUUUUAAAUUCCGGGCUUACAUAAACUAGUCAAAUGAAUGUGGGCCCCCACUUCAACUUCUCCAAACAUCAAUUUCUCCUUGUGAAAAUAGAGAUAUGAGACCUGGUCUGCAGUGGACCCAUCUUAGCUGCUUUUUGCUGCUCUGUCCAUGGAUGCAUUUGAAGAGUUCAAUGUUAAAAAAGGAAAUGGUUCAAUGAUACAAAUGUUGAAUGGUGAGCAUAUUUUUGCUGAAAAUUUUGCGGCUCCUGAAAAAGCACCCCUCGCUAGUUAAAGGAAUUCUGAAGGAAGAGCCAUAAGAGCUCAGGGACUCUGGAAAUAUUUGUUGAAUGAAGGAGGUUACAAGAGGAAGCACAAUGAUACGGCGAAAGAGCACAGGAUAUUUAUUCAAGUGAUCUGAGUGCCUGCUCUGCCAUGCACAACCCAUGUGACACUGGGCAAGUCUGUUUUCUCCACUCUAACCUGAGACUGAUAGCCCUGUCUGUCUCCCACAGUCUCUGUGGGGAACAGGCGAAACCAGAUCCAGUGAGAGACGAACGUGACUGAGAAGAGCAGGAGCCUAGCAGCCUAGGAAUGGCCUGUCCUGACACACUUUUGGAGAGCGUGGGCACAAGAAGGCAGCUGUUCCCCACAAAAGAGAAGAACCAGCCUGGGUGACCGAGGAUAUGGCACAAACCUGCCCACCAGGAAAUUCCAAGUUGCCGUUAGUUGGCCCUGCCUUCCAACAGGAGCAUGAGCAGAAAGGCCUUCUUGUACCUGAUCCACACAUCAGACUUCCAGCAUCAUACCCUUCUCCCCGUCUGACUGCCCAGACUCUGUGUACCACCUAAGACAAAUUCAAAACCUGUCCUUGAAUUUGUCCCCAGUGAUAGCCCCAUGCCUAAACUUUGUUUUGUAUACUCCCUCUUUCUUACUCUUCUCUAAAUGUUUCAAAUGUAUAUAUCUUUUCGACUAAUUCGCACAUUUCUUAAAGGCAAGUAAUUCUUACCAUUUUCUAAAACCCUGCAGUGGUUAUCACAGAGCUGGCCACAUGGUAGAAACAAUACUCAACACACUUAUUUAUUGAUAGACCCCAUAGCAAUCUUUUGGUAUAAUAUCUAUAAUUCAUAUUAAAACAGUUUAGCAUAAACUGUAUGAUAUUAUGCAAUUUCUGGUUAGUUCAAGCUUUAACUCUAGAAAUGUCAGUUGCCAUUUUUGAGAAUCCACAUUCCAGAAAUAUUUGAUUGAUAUCCAAGCGUUGAUAGCCUGUGGUUCCGACACCCAAAUCUUGAGCAAUACCCAAGGCUUUAUUAACAAGUAUAGUGAAUGUCUGAAAAGGGUAUUGAUUAGUAAAAUUUGUUGCUAAUAAAUUAACAUAAUGAAUAUUAGCAUGGGCCUCAAUGAUAAAAAAUAAAGGUGUUCAAGAAGUAUGAGUUGGCCUAAACAUUUUGAAGACACGCCCAACCCUGAACAGAGUCUAUAAACCUGGAGGUAUCCGUGGCCUGGACUCUGCAGGAUGGUGCUCAAGCUUGAUGCGUGAACAGCCCCGUGUCCAGCCACGGCUGUAGGAGCAUCCCGUGCCCGAGGCUGACCUGCAUCAGUACCAGGGCCUGCGUCAGAGCGUUGUGUGUGUGCCUUGGGGCCCUUUCACACAAGGUGGGGGCAGAACAUCUAAAAUUUAGGGAGCUGGGACAUCUGCAAACUUACAAAACAGAUCAGAUGUGCUAUUUUGUGACUUCUUGUUAAUAAAUGUUUGUUUUUUUAAAUAAAUGUGUGGCAGAAUUUGAUCUGAGACUUAAUGAAAACCUGGUAGCAAGGCUGUGGGGAGUACUAACCCUCUCCCGUCAACAUCUACCUAAAAGGCC
rnacentral:lncRNA from 1 species